AACGAACGCUGGCGGCAUGCCUAACACAUGCAAGUCGAACGAGACCUUCGGGUCUCGUGGCUCACGUGCGCGUAACGCGUGGGAAACUGCCCUUAGAUCCGGAAUAACUUCCCGCCCGAGGUGCUAAUUACGGCUAAUAUCCUCGGACUAAUGAUUUAUCGCCUUUGGGUGGGCCGGCGUUGGAUUAGCGAGUUGGUAGGGUAAAAGCCUACCAAGGCGCCGAUUCAUAGCUGGUCUGAGAGGAUGAUCAGCGACACUGGGACUGAGACACGGCCCAGACGCCUACGGGAGGCAGCAGUGGGGAAUAUUGGACAAUGGGCGAAGGGCUGAGCCAGCAAGGCCGCGUGAGGGAUGAAGGCCUUAGGGUUGUAAAGCUCUUUUACCCGGGAUGAUAAUGACAGUACCGGGAGAAUAAGCUCCGGCUAACUCCGUG
rnacentral:rRNA from 1 species